GUAGGUGGCAAGCGUUGUCCGGAAUUAUUGGGGCGUAAAGCGCGCGCAGGCGGUUCGUUUAAGUCUGAUGUGAAAGCCCACGGCUCAACCGUGGAGGGUCAUUGGAAACUGGAGAACUUGAGUACAGAAGAGGAAAGCGGAAUUCCACGUGUAGCGGUGAAAUGCGUAGAGAUGUGGAGGAACACCAGUGGCGAAGGCGGCUUUCUGGUCUGUAACUGACGCUGAGGCGCGAAAGCGUGGGGAGCAAACAGGAUUAGAUACCCUGGUAGUCCACGCCGUAAACGAUGAGUGCUAAGUGUUAGGGGGUUUCCGCCCCUUAGUGCUGCAGCUAACGCAUUAAGCACUCCGCCUGGGGAGUACGGCCGCAAAGGCUG
rnacentral:rRNA from 1 species